UUUUCCUGGAUUUCUCCCUUGUGAAGUUUUCCCUGCAAGCCUAGAUCUUCAGACAUGGUUACAACCAUGAUACAGAAGAGAUAUACCACAUCCUACAAAGAGUGAAAAAGGAUGGAGAGCAGUAUUGAUUGCUAGCUGGCCACCUGCUUUACCUCCUGGUAAGUAGAAGCUGGGACAUCCUCAUGUGCCCCCUGUCAUCUAGAGACAUGAGCCAUAGUUGGAGAGAAGGCCAACCAGUAUGGGAGUGUCCUGCUUGGCAGGCACUGAGGACAUUCUUUGGAUCAUCAGUAGGGAUUAACAGUAGAGGCGAUCAUGCUGCACUGAGGGGAGCCAGCUUCUGCACUUCACUUCAGUCCCUCUGCAUCCUCCAAACAGCCCAGACUUGUGUCUUGCCCGAAGCUGUCACCACCAGCACAGGGAGGGGGCAGCUUGCUCCUGUCCCACUUCACUUGCUCUCCCUGAGAGACUGAGGGGAGAGAACAGAAAGUGGAAAAGUGGCCUGAGAAAUUGUAUUCUUGCUCCUCAGUUACUGGGAGGCCACUCCCAGGUCUGUCAGCAGCUGACAUAUUUAGGAUAAUCUUUACAGUCUGCUGUCUGGUCCAGGGCUGAGAAGCAAAACAGAGGUGUUCUCAGCUGCCAGAGGGAGCCUCACCUUCGCUGGUGUUGGUGGCAGCGAUAAAAGGACACCAGCUCUAACUCAUAGGACAGAGAAUCCAGUUGCUUUGUGGAGAAGUUUCUGGGUGUCCUAUGUGUUCAUGGUGCUAGGAAAUAGGCAGUGAUGCUCAUUUAUCUUCCAGAAAUCUCAGAAAGCCUGGCAACUGCCCCAACACCAUCUCACGCCAGCUGAGAACUGAGGGAUUUUGCCGAAAGAUCCAUCAGAAACCUGCUUGAGCUUUCCAAGCCUGCUGCUCCCUUGAGGAGGGGGAAGCAGGGAGGGAGGCUUGUGUUGAUUAAUAUUAGAAGAAACUCUCCUGAAAGAAUGAUAGAUCAUGGCUUGGUGACUCCAGAAUCUUUUCUUGUUUCUUUCUUUGAUGGGAGGAGGGGGGGGACUGGAAACAAAAGGCCUAGGAAGGGGGGAAUGGAGGGAGGGGUGUGUUUUGAAAUCUGCUUCCUUUUGGCCACGCUUGAACUUCCAAGAGCCUGGCUUUGACUGACAUCCCUAGGAAAUGGGAGAGAAUACUCCAUGCUGAGCCGGCGCUCUGCCCAGCAGAGGAAGGAGGAGGCAUCUGGCUCUAAGGAGCUGAAAUAGAUGCCUUCAAUGCCUCUGUCAUUUGCCAUCACAGAGGUGUGCUUGGGUUUACUGUAGGAGUGUCCUGCUCCUCCAGGCUUAGGGGGGCUCCUCACCCUGCCUGGGUCAGCAUCUGGGCUCUGCAUCUGCACUCUGCUCGCACAACUUGCUUGGAGCAGACAGGACGCAUGAUGAAGGCUAAUGAGACGGGAAUAGAGCAGCCUUUGCAAAACCUGGCUCUGCCAUUCCCUGUUGUGCUGUCUGCUGGUGCAGGAGAGGCCACAGACAGCCAUGACUGACCCCU
ensembl:lncRNA